UCUACGGGGCGCAGCAGUGGGGAAUAUUGGACAAUGGGCGAAAGCCUGAUCCAGCCAUGCCGCGUGUGUGAAGAAGGCCUUCGGGUUGUAAAGCACUUUCAGUGGGGAAGAAAGCCUUGGGGCUAAUACCCUCGAGGAAGGACAUCACCCACAGAAGAAGCACCGGCUAACUCCGUGCCAGCAGCCGCGGUAAUACGGAGGGUGCGAGCGUUAAUCGGAAUUACUGGGCGUAAAGCGCGCGUAGGCGGUCUGAUAAGCCGGUUGUGAAAGCCCCGGGCUCAACCUGGGAACGGCAUCCGGAACUGUCAGGCUAGAGUGCAGGAGAGGAAGGUAGAAUUCCCGGUGUAGCGGUGAAAUGCGUAGAGAUCGGGAGGAAUACCAGUGGCGAAGGCGGCCUUCUGGACUGACACUGACGCUGAGGUGCGAAAGCGUGGGUAGCAAACAGGAUUAGAUACCCCUGUAGUC
rnacentral:rRNA from 1 species